rnacentral:rRNA from 1 species
AUUGAACGCUGGCGGCAGGCCUAACACAUGCAAGUCGAACGGUAACAGGAAGCAGCUUGCUGCUUCGCUGACGAGUGGCGGACGGGUGAGUAAUGUCUGGGAAACUGCCUGAUGGAGGGGGAUAACUACUGGAAACGGUAGCUAAUACCGCAUAACGUCGCAAGACCAAAGAGGGGGACCUUAGGGCCUCUUGCCAUCGGAUGUGCCCAGAUGGGAUUAGCUAGUAGGUGGGGUAACGCCUCACCUAGGCGACGAUCCCUAGCUGGUCUGAGAGGAUGACCAGCCACACUGGAACUGAGACACGGUCCAGACUCCUACGGGAGGCAGCAGUGGGGAAUAUUGCACAAUGGGCGCAAGCCUGAUGCAGCCAUGCCGCGUGUAUGAAGAAGGCCUUCGGGUUGUAAAGUACUUUCAGCGGGGAGGAAGGGAGUAAAGUUAAUACCUUUGCUCAUUGACGUUACCCGCAGAAGAAGCACCGGCUAACUCCGUG